UAUGCUCAAAUCUUACUGAAAGCACUGGCUCUCAUUUGAACACUGAAGUUAAGAGGCAUUGAGCCCAGUCAGUAUUUAAAUGGGAGGCCACUUGGGCAUAACGGGUACU